rnacentral:rRNA from 1 species
GAUGAACGCUAGCGACAGGCCUAACACAUGCAAGUCGAGGGGCAGCACGGUGUAGCAAUACACGGGUGGCGACCGGCGCACGGGUGAGUAACGCGUAUGCAACCUGCCUACUACAAGGGGAUAACCCGUUGAAAGACGGACUAAUACCCUAUAACACAGGGAAUCCGCAUGGAUAUAUUUGUUAAAGAUUUAUCGGUAGUAGAUGGGCAUGCGUUCCAUUAGCUUGUUGGUGAGGUAACGGCUCACCAAGGCAACGAUGGAUAGGGGAACUGAGAGGUUGAUCCCCCACACUGGAACUGAGACACGGUCCAGACUCCUACGGGAGGCAGGCAGUGAGGAAUAUUGGUCAAUGGACGAGAGUCUGAACCAGCCAAGUCGCGUGAAGGAAGACGGCCCUACGGGUUGUAAACUUCUUUUGUAAGGGAAUAAAUAGUCUUACGCGCUAAGACGUUGCAGGUACCUUACGAAUAAGGAUCGGCUAACUCCGUGCCAGCAGCCGCGGUAAUAGUCACG